GAUGAACGCUGGCGGCGUGCCCAAUACAUGCAAGUCGAGCGAACGGACGAGAAGCUUGCUUCUCUGAUGUUAGCGGCGGACGGGUGAGUAACACGUGGAUAACCUACCUAUAAGACUGGGAUAACUUCGGGAAACCGGAGCUAAUACCGGAUAAUAUUUUGAACCGCAUGGUUCAAAAGUGAAAGACGGUCUUGCUGUCACUUAUAGAUGGAUCCGCGCUGCAUUAGCUAGGUGGUAAGGUAACGGCUUACCAAGGCAACGAUGCAUAGCCGACCUGAGAGGGUGUCCGGCCCCACUGGAAGUGAGUCACGGUCCAGACUCCUACGGGGGGCAGCAGUAGGGAAUCUUGCGCAAUGGGCGAGAGCCUGACGGAGCAACGCCGCGUGAGUGAUGAAGGUCUUCGGGUCGUAAAGCUCUGUUAUUAGGGAAGAACAUAUGUGUAAGUCGCUGUACACAUCUUGACGGUACCUAAUCAGUAAGCAACGGCUAACUCCGUG
rnacentral:rRNA from 1 species